UGUAUUUGAAAUUUUACAAAGAUUUUUCAGAAGUUAACGGCUAAGGUUACCAAAAAGAAAAGAAAUGCAGGGAGAGAGACGGAGUAGAUGUCAAUUGUCUUCAAUAGUGUAGUUCUUUUACCAAAUAUGCGAAGGUUUGUAGCUGUCGCAAAAAUUGGAGGGAAAGCUGAAAAGAAGUGAAGGAAGACACAGAUAAUUCAAGUAGCUGGACAAGUCAUAGAUGCCAUAAUUGCUGUUGCAUUAUUAAAUACGAUGCACGUCAUUUGCCUGAUGACUGAUGCACUCGGCAAGAUUUCUGUUCUUUUAAUUGGACAUUCAGAAAGGUUAUAUCCACAUGCAGAGGAUAUUCUUAUGGAGAUCUGAAAAGUGAGUAGCGUGCCUACGUUUACCUUUCAACGAGGAUUCUGCAGGAAUGCAAGCGAUUGUUGAUUCCACCGCAGUAAUAGAACAGCGGCUAGUACUGUAGACCGUCACCAGCGCUUUGACUGUUUUGUAUCUGUUUAUUUACGUCUGAAUUCCGUUACAUUGUCCUCUUUCUAGGUAGAAGCUACGCUUAAUGGUGUACCAACUGAAAAUCAUUGUCUGCAGGACCAGUUUUCCCAUUUGCAACACAUGUAGGUAGCUGAUCAAGGCAGUAGCAUUCUGUUAACAAUGGAAGCGUAUCUUUUGGAUAUACCGGUUCAUAUGUUGUG